GGGAGAUACAAAGAAAAAAUACAGAAGAGGAAAGAAGUGGAUGAUGGAUUAUAAAGGAGAGGGAAUUCAUUUACAGAAAAGAGUUUGACUUGUGAUACUGAUUGACCUGCCUCUUUGAGGUACAUUCCAUAGUGGUGGAAAUUUUCACCUACCAAAAUAACAAGGCCAAUUUAAGCUGCUUGGUGCCAAGACAGUCAUGUGGGCUGAAGAGAAACUGCAGGAGGGGCAGUGCAUACAGACUUCAUUGGAGGGCAGCCUGAAGCACGAGGAGGCACUGAAUGCAGUGACUGUGUGCCACCCUCUUGGCAAGCACGCUGCUAAACUGGUGCACAACUAGAUGGAGCACUGCAAAUUAGGGCUGCAGGACCAAGAUGUUGCUGGCACUUUUAUCUGCAGCUGCACACUUCAGUUGGCUACUGCUAAUCGUUAGCAUACAGAGUUUUUGUCAUCCAUCUAUGAAGAAUAUAAAUCUGAAACUAUAAAUCUUCUCUGCAAGACUGAGAAGCAGAUUGAAAAUGAAAGAAAAUUCGACUUGCCC
ensembl:lncRNA